rnacentral:lncRNA from 1 species
AUAAAACUAAUAUAUACAAAGUAAAUUAAUUACAUUAUUCAUUAUUACUAUUAAGUAAAUCUCUGUUAUCCUAAUUGCGAGUUCCAUAACCAUACAACAGACUAGAUAUGGCAAUAAGUAGUCCACAUCACCUUAUGACUUUCGUCACCCUUGAACCAUUUCGGUUCGGCUGUAGCUAGCAGCCAGGUGCGGGGUAGUCAGCCUCGUAUAGAUCUAUACACUCAAGUCACGCUCCCUAUCUAAGAGAUUCUGGUUACAAAUGCGGUCCUCAACUCGCGUAUCUCUGUGGAGUGUUCACCGAGGACAUGUCUCAAAUUAUAUAGGAUUAACAAAUUUACUAGUAAUAAUACAAUAAUCCUCCACUCGCGUAUCUCUGUGGAGUAUUACCGAGGACAAAACAAUGCACUAAAUUUUAUGUUUAAGGUUCAAAUGUCAUGCUUUUAACUGAUAAAAUAUGAAAAACCAUUUGUGAAAUAUAAAACAUAAGAACUUAUAACUAAUUUCACAAAUAAUGUGUAUGAUUAUCCUGCAAGUUUCAAACGGUUAUCUGUUACGAUUAUCAGUGUUAAAAGCAUAUGAAUUAUGAAACACACACAUGUAAAACAAGUUUUUAAGUACAAGUAUCCCUUAUACUUUGCUUGUAUUCCCCCCCCCCCUUGAAAACAGUGAAAACAUUGAAAAAGGGUAGGGUUAUGAACUCACCAGACGAGAAAACGCAACGAUUGGAAUGGUAAGCGUUGGUUCAGGCAUGAUAACACGCGAGGUUCCUAUGUAUUAUGAAAUAAUAUCCAAAUGUAUCUAAUUAGAUUUUAAACCACUAAUUAGAUAUGAUAAUACACUCCAAUGAGCGAAAACACUUCAAAUCAAGUGUUUGGAGUGACCCGGGUGACAUCUACGGACGUGUGGGACUUGGGAAAUGAGUUUACUCUUUAAGAGUAAACUCCUUAUGGAGUUUUUGGCCCUAAACACUAUAACCACAUGAGUUCACGGCCGUGAACUCAUGGUUGAGGGUUUUAUGGUGCUAGAUGGCAUGAUAACACUUGGGAAAAUUAUCUAGGAUUAAAUCUAGGGCCUUGGAAUGGAUUAAACUCACUUAAGGACCAUUUAUUGGAGUUUACGGCAGUAAACAUGGAGUUUAAGGCCGUAAACUCCCCCAUACUCAUUCCUUAAUUUAUUUGGUGAUGCUAGGACAAUCACAUGUGAUUCAAACAAUUUUUACAAGCCUUAGGAUGAAUUUUGGGCACCAUUUGACCAAUGUUAAUGAGUUUACGGCCCUGGAACCUAUCCUUGGGGGGUUAUGGCUGUAAACUCUCAAAUGAAGGGAUUUCAUCAUGUUUAAGGCCCUAAAUUGAUUGUGGUUGGUUCUAGGAUUUAUUCCAAGGCUAAUGGUGUGUUUAAAUGGCUUUUAAACACUUGAUUUGGAGUUUACUAUCCAUGAAUGAUGAGUUUACGGCCCAAGCAUGUUCUUGGGAAGUAAACUCAUGUUUACUCCUCAAAAAUCAUGUUUAAGGUGUUCUAAGUCCGAAAUGGUAAACCAUAAAACCAUAUCUAAGUCCCAAGGUUGGUUUGGAGGGGUUUUAAGGCAUGAAAACCCAUUUUACUUGAGUUUACGGCCCAAGCAUGUUCCAGGGCCAUAAACUCAUGAAGAUGGUCCUUUUCAAUGUUUAAUCUCAGUUUUGAAGGCCUAAGAGGUUGAACAACAAGUUAGGGAAGUUACCUCAAGGAUUUUGAGCCUUAAAUCAAUGUUUUUGGACUUAGAUUCUUUGGUUGAGGAGAGAGGUUAGAGAGAGAGAGAGUAGUGAGAGAGAGAAAAAGAUUCAAAUGGAAGCUUAAACCUCUUUAAAUAGUGUCUAAGAUUUGGACACGAUGGAAUUCUACCCGAUACCGACGUUAGACGUGGCUUUUGGUCGCACCCGAUCAAGUUGCCGUAACUCGAUAUGGUUGAUUCUAAAAAUAUUUCGAUUACUAGAAUGGGGUGUUAAUGUGAGUUCUAAUCGCGUUUGGACAACCAUUAAGUCAUAAUAAUAAUAAUAAUAAUUUCAAAUUAAAUAACUUAAUUUAAUAACAUAAACGGAAACGAAAUCGGAAACGAUGAAUUGAUUCGAGAAGGGUUACGAAAAGGAUUACAAUUGAUGAUACAAACUUCGGGUUGUUACAUUAUCCCCCCGUUAGAGGGAAUUUCGUCCCGAAAUUCAGAAUUAAGAUACAAAUCAUGAAUCUGGAAAGAGAUGUGGAUACUUCUGUUUCAUUGAGUCUUCACGCUCCCAAGUGAAUUCCGGUCCCCGCUUGGCAUUCCAGCGAACCUUCACUAUCGGGAUGCGGCUUUGCUUCGUACGUUUGAUCUCUCGAUCCAUGAUUUCGACUGGUUCCUCCAUGAAGUUCAGGUUUUCGAUGAUCUCGAUCUCGUCUAAGGGAAUCACUAGGGUUUCAUCGGAUAAGCACUUCUUGAGAUUUGAGACAUGGAAGACAGGAUGGAUAUUACUAAGUUCACGGGGUAAUUGGAGUUUAUAGGCUACAGGACCGAUCCUAGCAAGGAUAUCGAAGGGUCCAAUGUACCUCGGAUUAAGUUUCCCACGCCUUCCGAAGCGUACCAUGCCUUUCCAGGGCGAAACCUUCAACAGGACACGGUCUCCAACCUGGAACUCCGACGAUUAUCUGCGUAACUCAUUUGGCGAUCUAUUGAAGCUUUCAAUCAUUCCCGGAUUUGGAUGAUCUUCUCGGUGGUUUCGCGGAUGAUUUCACGACCUGUGAGAGUACUGUCGGGGACUCGAUCCUUGGCUAGCUGCGUGUCCCCUACCUCGGCCCAGCACAUAGGGGUUCUACACUUGCGACCGUAGAGGGCUUCAAACGGGGCAGCCUUGAUGCUGGUGUGGUAACUGUUGUUGUACAAGAACUCGAUCAAGGGCAGAUGUGUGUCCCACAACUUUCCGCAAUCAAUGACACAUGCUCUAAGCAUGUCCUCUAGGGUUUGGAUUGUUCUCUCACUCUGUCCAUCGGUCUGAGGAUGAUAAGUCGUGCUCAUGUCUAGUUUGGUUCCAAGAGCCUUCUGGAGAGACUGCCAGAAUCUUGAGGUAAACCUGCUAUCUCGAUCAGAGAUAAUGGAUGCAGGUACACCAUGCAGUCGGACUGCCUCUUGGAUGUAAGUUCGCGCGAUUCUUUCCAUCUUGAAUGAUUCUUUGAUAGGAAUGAAAUGGGCGGACUUUGUCAAACGAUCGACAAUUACCCAAAUGGUGUCGUACCCACUCAGACACUUGGGUAACUUGGUGAUGAAAUCCAUGGUAAUCAUCUCCCAUUUCCAUUCGGGUAUCUCGGGCUGCUGGAGCAGACCCGAGGGUUUCUGGUACUCGACUUUCACCUUGGCGCAAGUCAGACACUUGCCCACAAACAUUGCUAUCUCAACUUUCAUGUUUGGCCACCAAUAUUGUUUCUUGAGAUCCAGGUACAUCUUAUACGAACCUGGGUGAACAGAGUAUCUGGUCUUGUGUGCUUCCUCCAUGACAAUCUCCCUGAAUCCUCCGGACUUUGGAAUCCAGAUUCGAUCCAUGAAACAGUAGACUCCGUCACCUCUGAUCUCAAGUUUCUUAUCCAUUCCCCUCAAGAAUUCGAUCGACACAUUCUCUGGUUUGAGGGCUUCUAACUGGGCUUCUCGGAUUUGCAUGGGUAAGUGGGAAUGGAUGGUCAUCGUCAGGGUCUUCACUUUUCGGCUUGAACUCUCCUUUCGGCUAAGGGCAUCUGCUACCACAUUGGCCUUGCAGGGAUGGUAACGGAUUUCACACUCAUAAUCAAUGAGUAGUUCUACCCAUCACCGUUGCCUCAUGUUCAAGUCUUUCUGAUCAAAGAUGUGUUGCAGGCUCAUGUGGUCAGUGAAGAUCGUACACUUGGUUCCGUAGAGGUAAUGUCUACAAAUCUUCAAUUCAAAGACUAUGGCUCCUAACUCCAAGUCAUGCGUGGUAUAGUUGACCUCGUGUGCUUUCAGUUGUCUAGAGGCAUAAGCAAUUACUUUUCCUCUUUGCAUAAGCACACAGCCUAAGCCCUGAUUAGACGCAUCGCAGUAGACAACGAAGUCCUCUGUCCCUUCGGGUAGGGACAGAACAGGCGCGCUGCACAAGGCUUUCUUCAAUGUCUGGAAUGCGGUUUGUUGCUUUCCACUCCAACAAAAGGGUACACCUUUUUGUGUCAGAGUGGUUAAGGGUUUGGCGAUUCUGGAAAAGUUCUGGAUGAAUCUCCGAUAAUAGCCGGCGAGACCCAAUAAUUGACGGAUUUCUGUGGGUGUCUUCGGUGCCGACCAAUUCUCUAUCGCUUUAAUCUUGGAAGGAUCCAAAUGAAUACCCUCCUCGCUUACCACGUGACCAAGGAAAGUUACCUUCUGAAUCUAGAAUUCACACUUGGAAAAUUUCGCAUACAACUUCUCGGAUCUAAGGGUUUCUAACACUAGCCUCAGGUGCUGUUUGUGAUCUUCUUCGCUUCUAGAGUAGACAAGGAUGUCGUCAAUGAACACAAUGACGAACUUGUCCAGAAAAGGGCGAUACACUCGGUUCAUCAGGUCCAUGAACACUGCCGGUGCGUUGGUUAGACCGAAGGGAAUCACUACAAACUCGUAAUAUCCAUACCGAGUCCUGAAAGCUGUUUUGGAAACAUCACUCUCAUGAAAUCGUAGCUAAUGGUACCCUGACCAAAGGUCUAUCUUGGAGAAGUAUCUGGCUCCCUGGAGUUGAUCGAAGAGGUCAUCUAUUCACUGAAGAGGAUAUCGGUUUUUGACGGUCAACUUGUUUAGCUCACGGUAGUCGAUGCACAUUCGGAAGGAUCCAUCUUUCCUCUUUACAAACAAUACCGGAGCUCCCCAGGGUGAGGAACUCGGUCUGAUGAACCCUUUGUUGAGCAACUCAUUGAGUUGGAUGGAUAACUCCUGCAUUUCUGCUGGAGCUAAGCGAUACAGAGAUUUCACUACGGGGGAUAGCUCUAGGAAUUAGGUCAAUGCGGAAUUCAACCUGACGUUCGGGAGGAAUUCCUGGAAGCUCUUCGGGAAACACAUCAGGAAAGUUACAGACUUCGGGGAUGCUCGCGAGGUCUUUGACUUCCUGUUUCUCAUUGAUUACAUGGGCUAGGAAUGCUUGACAUUCCUUUCGCAAGAGUUUUCGAGCUUUGAUGCAGGAAAUGAUGCGAAGAUUGGAGUUGAGUUUAUCGCCAUAAAUUAUGAGAGUCUGACCCGAAGGAAGGUUGAGACGGAUGGCUUUUUCGAAACAGAGGAUAUCAGCAUGACUGGGACUCAACCAAUCCAUGCCAAUGAUGACAUCAAAGCUCUUUAUGGAAACUGGCAUAAGAUCGAUGGGAAAUGAAUGGUCAUUCAGGGUAAGGGUACAACCUACGAACACCUCGUUAGCGCUUUCUUUCUCAUCGUUAGCCAUCUCGACAGUAAAUGUUUCAGUUAAUGGUUGGGGAUUAGAUUUAAGAUUAUGUUUGAACGCAUGAAUAAUAAAGCUUCUUUCAGCGCCCGAAUCGAAAAGAAUACUAGCAUAUGAGUUGUCGAGAAGGAACGUACCCAAGACAACAGUGGGAUCGACGACUGCCUCCUCCCGUCCCAUGGCUAGGACUCUCCCGGUGUUAUCAGUUGUCGCCUUCUUGGGGCAGUUUCUCUUGAAAUGCCCAACUUCUCUGCAAUUAUAACAGGCUUGACCAACACCUAUUCCAUAAGAUUGAUUUGCAGAUUGGGCUGGUGCCUUGCAGAAUCGGACCGUGUGCCCCUUCUUACCAUAAUUUGUGCAUGACAGUUCAUGGCAGGGGCCGGGGUUAUGGUGGUAUUUGCACUUGUCACAAAGGGGAAGGUUACCAGCAUACCUGCUAGUAGGUGUUUGAGCUGUAGAUCCCACAACAGAAGCAGCAACAACGGGGGUAGUAGCAGCAUGGACUGCUACAGUCUGCUGUUUCUUUGAGGAUCCUUGGGAAGAUUGAUCCUUCUUCUUCUUCUAGAACUUCCUUUUCUCACCACUCCUCUUGGUCAGUUCAGGAGUGGUGGUGGUUUCCUCAACAUCAACACCGUGGUCAACUAGGGUCUGGGCUAAACUCUUGGCGCUGUCAUACGUGUCCGGCCGUGCAGCUAAGAAAUUUCCCUUGGUUGGCUGGGUCAGCCCCCAAAUGAACCUCUCUAUCUUCUUACUUUCUGGGGUAACCAAUCCCGGGCAGAGGAGUGCAAGAUCAUCGAAUCUAGAAGUGUAUGCAUCAAUAUUGGAACCUUUCAUCUUUAAGUUCCACAGCUCGUGCUCUAAUUUCUGCAUUUUGCCCCGAGGGCAGUAUUCAGCUAGGAGGAGUUCUUUCAUGGCUUCGCAACCCAUGACAUUGGCUACAGGUAGGGUCAAGGAUUUGACUCGGUCGUUCCACCAAGUCAGAGCUUUAUCGAUAAAGGUACAGGCUGCGAAUUUCACUUUAUCAGAUUCCGAACAGGCACAGAUUUCAAAGAUAGAUUCGAUCUUCUCGAACCAUCUGGAAAGGGAAAUGACACCUCCCGUGCCAUCAAAAGAUGUAGGUUUUGCGUUCAUGAAGUCUUUAUAGGAACCCUCCUUUCGGUGUCCCUGACUAUUUUCUUGGUUCUUAGUUUGAGUACCACCUCCCGAACCACCGGAACCACCGGUGUUCAAUUGAGACAUAGCNGCCACAGCGGCAGUAACAGCUGCCUGGAAUACUACAGGGUCAAUUUGGGGAGGAGGUGGUGUGGAAGGGUUUUUGGUCUUGGAGCUGGGUCUCUUUCUUGGAGGCAUCUUGAUCUAAUAAGAUCAAGAAAGAGAGGAUGAUAAGUCCUCUGAAUCGAAUCAAGAGAUAUGACAGANNNNNNNNNNNNNNNNNNNNNNNNNNNNNNNNNNNNNNNNNNNNNNNNNNNNNNNNNNNNNNNNNNNNNNNNNNNNNNNNNNNNNNNNNNNNNNNNNNNNNNNNNNNNNNNNNNNNNNNNNNNNNNNNNNNNNNNNNNNNCGAUGUUUUGUGGUAUUAGGGUAAGUUUUAGGCAUGCCACAUAUCACAGUCACUCCCAAGCACAUGUUGGCCGUGUCUCGAAUGAAUACAGUUAAACAGGCUAUAUUGAUCCUAGACACGACUACAUAACUGCCCACAUUUAACCGCAGUACACAACACCCAUUUACUUAUGUUUUAUUCUACUUGUAGUUACGGAUAUCGACGGUUCGGUAUACUUGUAUACUUUUGAAAAUACUUAUAUUUUGAUGUAUACUUUUAGUUCAGAGCACUUAGGCCCCUUAGUGUUUAUAGUCUUAUACCAUGUAAGGUUUGGUAUACUUUAUUCACUAUAAACAAGGGCUCUGAUACCAAUCUGUCACACCCCGAAAACCAAAGGCGGAAACAUUUCCGGGGCGGACGCCACGUUGAGUAUCAAAUCCAAUGCACAUAGUAAGUAAAGUAAACAACCAUUACAUUACAUAUAUAAAAGUUUACAUUUGUUUCAAAAGUAAGUUGUACAAGUGAUACAUAGUAUAUAUGAACAAAAUGAGACGCGUCUUCUACGCACUUCGUCUUCGCCAAAAGGAAUCAUCGAGUACCUGUCUAUUGCGGACCUGAGACUACAAGCAGUUUGAAAAUCAACAUAACGCUGGUGAGUUCAUAAGCGGUUUUGUUUUCUAAAAAUGUACGAGUUCCUUUUCUAUUUCUGAAAAUGAUACAUACCAAGAAAAUCCCAUAUUUUAUUAAAAGUUGGUUAUUGAAUCCCAAAAUGUAAUGUAAAAGAUGUACACUGAAAACAUGUUUACCCUUGUGGUUGUAAAGUUUAGUUAUCUGGUUUGUUACAUGAUUCUGGUUAUGUACAAGUGUUACCCCAGGAAAAUCCCAUAUUUUCCUGAAUGUUGGUUACCAAUGUGAAAGAUGUAUACUGAAAACCUGGUUAUCCUUGUGAAAUGUAUUAGUUUUAACACAUAUAUAAAACUAAUAUAUACAAAGUAAAUUAAUUACAUUAUUCAUUAUUACUAUUAAGUAAAUCUCUGUUAUCCUAAUUGCGAGUUCCAUAACCAUACAACAGACUAGAUAUGGCAAUAAGUAGUCCACAUCACCUUAUGACUUUCGUCACCCUUGAACCAUUUCGGUUCGGCUGUAGCUAGCAGCCAGGUGCGGGGUAGUCAGCCUCGUAUAGAUCUAUACACUCAAGUCACGCUCCCUAUCUAAGAGAUUCUGGUUACAAAUGCGGUCCUCAACUCGCGUAUCUCUGUGGAGUGUUCACCGAGGACAUGUCUCAAAUUAUAUAGGAUUAACAAAUUUACUAGUAAUAAUACAAUAAUCCUCCACUCGCUUAUCUCUGUGGAGUAUUACCGAGGACAAAACAGUGCACUAAAUUUUAUGUUUAAGGUUCAAAUGUCAUGCUUUUAACUGAUAAAAUAUGAAAAAUCAUUUGUGAAAUAUAAAACAUAAGAACUUAUAACUAAUUUCACAAAUAAUGUGUAUGAUUAUCCUGCAAGUUUCAAACGGUUAUCUGUUACGAUUAUCAGUGUUAAAAGCAUAUGAAUUAUGAAACACACACAUGUAAAACAAGUUUUUAAGUACAAGUAUCCCUUAUACUUUGCUUGUAUUCCCCCCCCCCCUUGAAAACAGUGAAAACAUUGAAAAAGGGUAGGGUUAUGAACUCACCAGACGAGAAAACGCAACGAUUGGAAUGGUAAGCGUUGGUUCGGGGCAUGAUAACACAGGAGGUUCCUAUGUAUUAUGAAAUAAUAUCCAAAUGUAUCUAAUUAGAUUUUAAACCACUAAUUAGAUAUGAUAAUACACUCCAAUGAGCGAAAACACUUCAAAUCAAGUGUUUGGAGUGACCCGGGUGACAUCUACGGA